rnacentral:rRNA from 1 species
UACAGAGGGUGCGAGCGUUGUCCGGAAUCACUGGGCGUAAAGGGCUCGUAGGCGGCCAACUAAGUCGGACGUGAAAUCCCCAGGCUCAACCUGGGAACUGCGUCCGAUACUGGAUGGCUUGAAUCCGGGAGAGGGAUGCAGAAUUCCAGGUGUAGCGGUGAAAUGCGUAGAUAUCUGGAGGAAUACCGGUGGCGAAGGCGGCAUCCUGGACCGGCAUUGACGCUGAGGAGCGAAAGCCAGGGGAGCAAACAGG